CCUACGGGAGGCUGCAGUGAGGAAUAUUGGUCAAUGGCCGGAAGGCUGAACCAGCCAAGUAGCGUGAGGGAAUAAGGCCCUAUGGGUCGUAAACCUCUUUUGUAAGGGAGUAAAGGGGUCCACGUGUGGCCGUGAGGAGAGUACUUGUAGAAAAAGCAUGGGCUAACUCCGUGCAAGCAGCCGCGUUAUUACGGGGGAUGCGAGGGUUAUCCGAUUUUAUUGGUUUAAAGGGGUGCGUAGGCGGAGUUUCAGGUCGGCGGUAAAAUUUGGGGGCUCAACUCCGUCGUGCCGUUGAAACUGGCGGCCUUGAGUGAGUGAGAGGUAAGCGGAAUGCGUGGUGUAGCGGUGAAAUGCAUAGAUAUCACGCAGAACGCCGAUUGCGAAGGCAGCUUACCGGCGCGCAACUGACGUUGAGGCACGAAAGUGCGGGUAUCAAACAGGAUUAGAUACCCUUGUAGUC
rnacentral:rRNA from 1 species